GCCCCGGGUGGCACAGUUGGAUAGCACAGUCCCCUCCUAAGGGACAGGUCACAGAUUCAAAUCCUGUCCGGUGCACCA
rnacentral:tRNA from 1 species